UUUUCCGGUUGAUCCCGCCGGAGGCCAUUGCUAUUGGGAUCCGAUUUAGCCAUGCUAGUUGUACGAGUUUAGACUCGUAGCGAAUAGCUCAGUAACACGUGGCCAAACUACCCUUCGGACCACAAUACCCUCGGGAAACUGAGGCUAAUAGUGGACACCACACGCAGACUGGAAUGUCGCGUGUGUCAAACGCUCCGGCGCCGAAGGAUGUGGCUGCGGCCGAUUAGGUAGACGGUGGGGUAACGGCCCACCGUGCCAAUAAUCGGUACGGGUCAUGAGAGUGAGAACCCGGAGACGGAAUCUGAGACAAGAUUCCGGGCCCUACGGGGCGCAGCAGGCGCGAAACCUUUACACUGCACGCCAGUGCGAUAAGGGGAUCCCAAGUGCGUAGGCAUAGAGCCUACGCUUUUGUCCACCCUAGGGUGGUGGACGAAUAAGGGCUGGGCAAGACCGGUGCCAGCCGCCGCGGUAAUACCGGCAGCUCAAGUGAUGACCGAUUUUAUUGGGCCUAAAGCGUUCGUAGCCGGCCGGGCAAGUUCGUCGGGAAAUCUACCAGCUCAACUGGUAGGCGUCCGGCGAAAACUGCACGGCUUGGGACAGGGAGACUCAAGGGGUACGUCCGGGGUAGGAGUGAAAUCCUGUAAUCCUGGACGGACCACCGAUGGCGAAAGCACCUUGAGAGAACUGCUCCG
rnacentral:rRNA from 1 species